rnacentral:rRNA from 1 species
UACGAAGGGGGCUAGCGUUGCUCGGAAUCACUGGGCGUAAAGCGCACGUAGGCGGCUUGUUAAGUCAGGGGUGAAAUCCUGGAGCUCAAACUCCAGAACUGCCUUUGAUACUGGCGAGCUUGAGUUCGGGAGAGGUGAGUGGAACUGCGAGUGUAGAGGUGAAAUUCGUAGAUAUUCGCAAGAACACCAGUGGCGAAGGCGGCUCACUGGCCCGAUACUGACGCUGAGGUGCGAAAGCGUGGGGAGCAAACAGGG